CGGAGUUUUAAAUGGAAGUCCUCGGAUGGAAGUUAGAAACUAGUGGCGGACGGGUGAGUAACGCGUGGGUAACCUGCCUCAUACAGGGGGAUAACAGUCGGAAACGACUGCUAACACCGCAUAAUAUAGCGAAACCGCAUGAUUUUGCUAUCAAAUAUUUAUAGGGUAUGAGAUGGGCCCGCGUCUGAUUAGCUAGUUGGUGGGGUAAAGGCCUACCAAGGCGACGAUCAGUAGCCGGCUUGAGAGAGUGACCGGCCACAUUGGGACUGAGACACGGCCCAAACUCCUACGGGAGGCAGCAGUGGGGAAUAUUGGACAAUGGGGGAAACCCUGAUCCAGCCGACGCCGCGUGAGUGAAGAAGUAUUUCGGUAUGUAAAGCUCUAUCAGCAGGGAAGAUAAUGACAGUACCUGACUAAGAAGCCCCGGCUAACUACGUGCCAGCCGCCGC
rnacentral:rRNA from 1 species